AUUGAACGCUGGCGGCAUGCCUUACACAUGCAAGUCGAACGGUAACGCGGGGCAACCUGGCGACGAGUGGCGAACGGGUGAGUAAUGUAUCGGAACGUGCCCAGUUGUGGGGGAUAACUGCUCGAAAGAGCAGCUAAUACCGCAUACGACCUGAGGGUGAAAGCGGGGGAUCGCAAGCACCCGCGCAAUUGGAGCCGCCGAUAUCCGAUUAGGUAGUUGGUGGGGUAAAGGCUCACCAAGCCAACGAGCUGUGGCUGGUCUGAGAGGACGACCAGCCACACUGGGACUGAGACACGGCCCAGACUCCUACGGGAGGCAGCAGUGGGGAAUUUUGGACAAUGGACGCAAGUCUGAUCCAGCCAUGCCGCGUGCGGGAAGAAGGCCUUCGGGUUGUAAACCGCUUUUGUCAGGGAAGAAACGCUCUGGGUUAAUACCUCGGGGUAAUGACGGUACCUGAAGAAUAAGCACCGGCUAACUACGUGCCAGCCGCCGCGGUAACAC
rnacentral:rRNA from 1 species